GAGCGCUCGGGGAACGGCAUGCAUGUGACGCAGCUUUUAAAAAAGGAGACGGAGGCAGAGACCCCAGAGAGGGAGGGCGAAGGGGAGGGCUUGGAGGCGCAGCCGCGCGCUCGGUGUCCGUCCUCCGGGUGCCGCCGGAUGGGGAGUCUGGCUGAGCCGGAGCGGGAGCCGCGGCUGGGGGAGGCGGAGCCGGGGUGGGCAGUGUGGUGUAUCUCUCUCCACCCCGGGCCGCGCUCCGGGAGGGAAAAGGGACUGCAGACCCCCUGUCCGUGCUCCCUGCUGAGACGCCAGCCUUCUUCUGGAGGCCCCUUGUUUCGCGUCCCUACCCUAGGCUGGAUGGGUAAAGAAGCAUUCUCUUAAUUCUUGUAGCAACCCCUCAACUCACCCCUUCCCUAAAUUAACCACUCCUCCUUUGCCUGCGAAACCAGUUGGGACUAGAACUAAAAGGGUUAAUUAAGUGGGGUCCCCGCCCUCCUCCGCCUAAGGGCUUGGGAUCUGUGUUUUGCUGGGGGGAGGGGGCUGCGGAAUGACCACCAGAUUGGAUUACGGAGGGGCGAUAGGAGGCCAUCCUUCCUUCUUGCAGACUGACGCAUCAGUCAAGACACUCUCUUCCCUUCCCCCCUUUCUCCAGCCUUGGUGCCUUCACCUCCGUACCAACCGCCCAACCCCACCGCCUCCGACCCCCCUGCCUGGAAGCUGCUGUCCUUUGAGGGCUUCGGAGAUGAGAACAGGAAACAGGCCCCUCCAGUGCCCCCUAACCCAGAGAGGCAGAGGCUGUGGGCCGUGGGGGGUUGGAUGGGAGAUGAUGUGGAUGGUCAAUGUUUUUGCUGAGGGAGCAUGAAAUGAUGGAACGGUGCAGAGUCCAGGGAUUGAAAAGAAGGCCUGCCUAGGAAUGGAGACCCUCCCCACCAUGUGCUUAGGAUGGGGGAUAGGGGAGCUUGUACACUGUGGAGUCUCCCACCCCCAGGUUUCCCCAUCUCCACCCCCACCAGGAGCAGAGAGGACCUGACUGAAGCCAUCCACACUCACACAAGUAUUUCCUUGGCAGCAUCCCCUGCCUGAGUGCACCCCCUCCCUGCAUUCUCCCAGACAAAGGUCAGCACUAGAGGGAGUAGAGAGAACAUAAGGCAACAGAACACUGGCCCGAAAUUGUGGAUACCUAGGUUUGAACGCAAGAUUCGCUCCUCAAUACCUGAGUGAUUUGAGACAACUGACCACCCCACCUGGGACACUAGCUUUAUCCUCUGUAACCUAUGGCUUGGCCUUUUACACUUGCCGACUCAUUUACCUUUCAUGAGGACCUUUGGAAGAAGGUGCUAUUACCUCCAUUGAACAAGUAGGAAAACUGAAGUUCAGAGAUGAUAAUAAAUUUGAACUUGCCUGUAAAACACUGUUCUCCCUCUUCUUCACCUACUAGUUAAUGCUUCCUUAACACCUUAGUUCUAGCUUCACCUUCUCUGGGAAGAUUACCCUUCCCACUCCCACUGACACUAUAGCCCAGUUACCGGUAAGGAAAUACCAUCUCAGUACUGUUGAAUGGGUGGUUAAAAUAAGUGAUUGGGGCUCCUACAGGAACUCCAUUUAGGCAAGUUAGUUAACUUUGCCAAGGUAACAGAGCUAACAAGCACUUGACCCAUUGCUCCACUCCUUGCCUUACUUCUAGUGUGGAUCAGACCUGGGGAGGGAGAAGAGAACAUCUUUGGAGCAUCUCUGGGAAUUGUGGUAUAGGCAAAAAUGGGAAGAGAGGUCACAGACACCUGGCAGACAGAAGGGAUGUGGUAGGAAGGGGGUGGAGUCUAUGUGGAGGGGGGGUCUUUAACUUAAUGACAAUGUCCUGGAGGACUGGAGGCUUAGCUGAUUUGUAUGGAUGGGUGUAAGUGCCCAGUAUUCUCUCUCUCUCCCUCUGUAUGUGUGUGGUAAAAUUCACAUAACAUAAAAUUAACCUUUUUU
rnacentral:lncRNA from 1 species